rnacentral:miRNA from 1 species
CCUCAUGUGGAAUCUUUAGCU